GUUCACUUUGGUCCAUAUAUACUAAAACUGGGAUGAUACAGAGAAGAUUAGCAUGGCUCCUGUGCAAGGAUGAUGCACAAAAUCAUGGAGGAAAAGAAAAAGGUA